CCGUCUUGGAACUCUGUGGUGGCAUUCGCGUCUGCGAGCUCCGGAGUGACUUGCCCUUCCUGUGAAGGCAAUCCGGCCCUUUCCGGUGGAGGACCCUUCCCCCUGGGUUGAUCCUGAGGAACUUGAGAGAAGCUGAGAUCCAGACCUUCUUGGAGAGAACAUAGCCAGUGGAGACUCACUCUACGGCCAGAAGAUUCUGUAUUUCCUUACAGGCAGAACUUGCUGAAACGCCAACCUCUGGAAAUUACUGGAACUCUGCAUUCUAGAACUUGCUGGAAACCCACCCUCUGCAAUUAGCCUACUAGAGUGCCUGAGAAGGAUGUUCAUAGGGAAGUAUUUCAGCAGAGGAACUUUACUACAAAAACUGCAAGAGGGAGGGUGCCACGGGAAGCUGCCUGAUGCUGCCAAAACUGCAGCACAGAAGCCAGCCACUGCAGAGAGCUGCACAAGCUGCAGGAACACCCUACCCAGUAAGCCGGCCAGAAGCAGGGAGCAAAAGCUUUUCUUUCUGCACCAUCUUUCCAGUUUCCUCUACUGGAAAAGCUUCAGUGCCAGCUGACAAAAGGAAAAAUACUUAAAUGGCUCAGAUCCAUUUUCACAGAGCAGUCAAUAAUGGUGAAUUUGGAGAUGAUAAGCAACAAAUUGAUGAACUGGCACAACUUCCCUGCUACUUUCUUGAUUGUAAUGCCUAGAUAGGGAAUAGGAAAGUUAUUGAAAUGUAUGUGUUCCCAUGAAAUGUGUUUGUUUGUUGUUCAAGAUCAAUACUAAUAAAUGAGGACUAAUGUUUGAA